CCUGUGAGGAGCUGCAGCCGCCAUGAGGCCUCCCCUCAGCUCCUCUGCUGUGUGCUGCACGAACCCAGGCACCUCAGCUGCUCCUCAUGCAUUUUGCUCCCCACCACCCUUCACCAUCUUUGUAGCCUUCCUUUGGAUGCUCUCUAAUAGCUUGCUGUCCUUCUGCUAUUGUGGCACCCAAACCUGCACCCAGUGCUUGAGGUGAGGCUGCACAGCCUCUGAUAAAUCAAGAUCGUUUUGCAAGACGUAUCUACUCUCAAGGAAGUCAACAGUUCCUCCUAAGUUAGUGACUUUCACUUAGUUGUUAUACCUUCAAAUUCUGCAUCCAAGCCAUUAAAAAGCCCUGAAACGGAGCCCUGUGGAAUCCCACCAGUGACUGAGGUUCUAGAAAAUUUAGAAUAUAUUCACUCUCUCCUGACAGGAGCACUUCUGGUGUCUGACUGAGCCUCUCGGCCCAGGUGAUGCCCUUUAGCUCCUGCUCUUGCUGGCAGAUGACAUGCAGUUACCCACUACACGCCACGGUCAUGGUAUGAUGACGUCAUAACUAACGACAGAGUGAAGUUUUUACUUUAAAACACCUUCCUGUAUUAAAAGCCUCUGACGCAGUAUGGCAUGUUCCGUGUGGAUGUUCCUGCUUCUUCCACUUGGUUCUCAGGUUUUAAAAGAAAAUCAGAAAAUUCAGAGAGAGAUUUGUCCGAAGGAGAAAACUGGGUGUUUUGCAAGGUCCCAUACCCACUGUUUGGUGAAAGGGAAACCCAAAUGCUCUCCAACAGGAAUCCAGCAUAGACAACUAGGAUGCAGAAUGUACAUCAGCACGUGAGUUGAAUCCUGUCUGUGUGCACUGGAGCUCUUUUCUAGUUGACCAGGAAAAGAAAUGCAGUGUAAAGCCAUAACAACACAUGAGGAAUUAAGGAGAUGCUGAUUUCCUUGUUGGGAUGACACUUCAUACAGGUUGCACUAGAACAUUAUUUUGCUCUUCUUGUUUAUUUGCAUGCUCUUUCUAUACCUGUUUGGGAAAAACACGGUUUUCAUAGAGGUUCUCAAUACUUGUUUUCCAAAGAGUUUGGUGCAUUGGAUGAACUCUUACCAGUCAGUAGGAAAAGAGAGGCCUGGGAUCUAAGGCAGAUUUCAGAGCAGCAGCUAUUAACCUUAGUCUCUCUUUAUUCCCUCCUCCCUUCCAUCUGUAGGAGAUACCAAGAUGGAAAAGUAUUAUUAUAAAAAUAGUAAAACUGGUAUGGUUCUGAGUCAGUAAUGCACAGCACUGCACUCAAAGUGCCUAACGUAAACUAGAUAGGCAUCAUUGUACAUGGCAUAUUGGUUGUUUCUUGCAAGAAGUAAAACUUUUUUUUUUUUUGAUUUUCACACACUUUCACAUACAGUGAGACAAUGUGGUAGUUUUUGGGACAACACUUUAGAGACGUGUGAAAUACAUAAGAUGCGUGAUGUUAAUUAAUAUACCGCAGAGAGUCCUCUAUGCACGCUCUGUUUACAGCCAGUCCUGCAGGAGCAUUUUAGAAGCAAACAGUGCAGUAAAAUGACGGUAAUGGGGCACCCAGCAGAGACUAUGGCUCAUGCUGAGAAAAAGCCUGCUGUGAGGAUGGAUGCCUAAGUCAGAUAUUUACAUUAAGGAUCUAAGAAAAGAAACAAAGGGAAAGAUCAAAACAUGACAGAACCGCAAGCAUAACAAUGCAACAGCACAGUAAAAGAAAAGAUCUUUCCUUCUUUGUAUGUGGAACAUUCUUAGAAAAAAAUAGGUAGAAGGAAAUGGCUAUUGUCAGUCCAAAGCUAAUUAUUUAAAUAUUUAAAUAUUUAAAUAUUUAAAUAUUUAAUCCAAACUCAAAGAAGUCCAGUUCACAGUACUCAUCAGACUCAGAUAAGCAAUGCUCCUGAGCGGGCCUUAAGCCUCAGCUCCUUUCCCCUUCAUAAGGGAGAUCAAAUGGCUAGCUGUAUUACAAAGCUUUAAUCUGUAAUUAUGUGUGAAACCUGGGAGGACAGGUUGCCGAAGAAGGCAAGGGGAGGGAGAAGACUACAGAAUAAUUUUAGGAGCCUGGCUAACUUAUUCAAGUGCCUGAAGUUUGUUGAAGUGUGUAAAUAACUACAGUUCCAUGCCUGUGUAUCCUCCCACCAAUGUUCUCAUAUGAGUAACAUGUAUUUAAUGAAAAAGAGAAUAUUGCCACUGAGAAAAAAUGCCAUGCUUUCUGCUUCACACUUGAGCUAGGAGCAAGCAUAUAUACACAUAUACAUAUACAUCCACAUAAGAAAUGCUGCAAACUACAGUAACUGAGCAGCAAGUUCAGCUUAAAAGUGUAGGAUUUCAUUUCAGUGUGAUGCAGAUCUGUUAAUAUAAUAUGAUCUGUUAUUAAAAGCCUGCUUACGAGGCUGCAGUUUUUUCAGGCUGAAGCAGAAGGAUCUAUAAAAAAGCAUUUGCAAACAGCUUACUGAAUUCAAACAAGCAAAAGAGGAAUACUUCAUUUGGAGAUGGCAGUGGUUGCAUUCUUGUCAGUGUGUCAGAUUGGAGUGCUCUCCUGUGAAUGGCAUGCCCAACUCACCCUUGUAUGUCCAGCAACCCCAAGCUUAGGCUAAAGCAAGUGGACUUGUAUUGUUACCACAUGUAGUGGUAAGGAAGAGGUUUAACAUGGAAAUGGUCCUACAGAAAAGGUUUAUUAUGCAAUAAAGCAAUCUGGAACAAUGUCUAAGACCUAUGA
rnacentral:lncRNA from 1 species